UACGGAAGGCCCAAGCGUUAAUCGGAAUUACUGGGCGUAAAGCGCGCGUAGGUGGUUUAUUAAGUUGGGUGUGAAAGCCCCGGGCUCAACCUGGGAACUGCAUCCAAAACUGAUUCACUAGAGUACGAAAGAGGGAGGUAGAAUUCACAGUGUAGCGGUGGAAUGCGUAGAUAUUGUGAAGAAUAUCAAUGGCGAAGGCAGCCUCCUGGUUCUGUACUGACACUGAGGUGCGAAAGCGUGGGUAGCGAACAGGAUUAGAUACCCUGGUAGUCCACGCCGUAAACGAUGACAACUAGCUGUUGGGAAGCAAUGCUUUUCAGUGGCGCAGCUAACGUAUUAAGUUGUCCGCCUGGGGAGUACGGCCGCAAGGUUAAAACUCAAAUGAAUUGACGGGGACCCGCGCAAGCGGUGGAGCAUGUGGUUUAAUUCGAUGCAACGCGAAAAACCUUACCUACUCUUGACAUCCUUGGAAUCUCUUGUAAUGAGAGAGUGCCUUUUGGAACCAAGUGACAGGUGCUGCAUGGCUGUCGUCAGCUCGUGUCGUGAGAUGUUCCGUUAAGUCGGAUAACGAGCGCAACCCUUACCCUUAUUUGCCAGCGGUUCGGCCGGGAACUAUAAGGGGACUGCCGGUGAUAAACCGGAGGAAGGUGAGGAUGACGUCAAGUCAUCAUGGCCCUUACGAGUAGGGCUACACACGUGCUACAAUGGGAAGUACAGAGGGACGCCAAAGCGUGAGCUGGAGCUAAUCUCAUAAAACUUUUCGUAGUCCGGAUUGCAGUCUGCAACUCGACUGCAUGAAGUCGGAAUCGCUAGUAAUCGCGGAUCAGCACGCCGCGGUGAAUACGUUCUCGGGUCU
rnacentral:rRNA from 1 species